AAUCAAAAUUGUCGUGUCGUAAG
rnacentral:siRNA from 1 species